CUUGCUGCAGUGUUUUGUUUUUGUUUGUUUGUUUUCCUGCAUAGAUGUACCCUUAGUCUCAAGACUACCAAGCUGAUGGCCAUGAUGUGACAAGAUGUGCAGUAGCCAUUUGGAUGAUUUGAUUUCCUCCAAUCUAUUAUGAUGGUACUUGGGAAUGAGGGGGCUCCAGUCUGAGAUUAUCUCAGAAUAAAUACCUGAAUUGUGGAGCCAUGUACAUCUAUUAAGAGAGAACUGAAGACAAAGAACCUGUCAGAUCUAGGUUCAAAAUCCUAAAGUACCCAUACAGAGGAAAAACUUGGUAAGAUUUACCCUCUGGAACUGCCAAAGAAGAUAUGUGAGAUUCCAAAGAUGUUCUUGUGCCUGAACUGGAGUCACUUUAAAGCUCUGGUUGCUCAUGAUUUUAGCUUGGUGUCACAAGAGCUGGAGUUCUGAGGGCUCCUGCAUACAGCCCUAUAUAUGACCUGCUUCUACAAUAUUAGCGAAAAAAUUUCAAAGCAGGAAAGACAGACCAGUGAUUUCAAAAAUACCAAACCCUUCCUACUCACAUCCUCAGAAAUGUAUUUUAGAUCCAUGGUUACAUAGAUUUUUCUGCUUCCACUAUUUCUUUCCCAUUCUCUAUCAGGUGGUGAUUUUAGAAAGUCAAACCCUAUAGAUAUUUUUCUAAAUAGGACCUCAGUUGCCUAACAGCACAUAUUCAGAUUUGUACAACUUUCUUCUGAUUUAAUCUUUAAGAAGCAAGGAGCUUUGUGUAGGAGACAGAAAAAGAUAUUCCUAUCUACUCAAGUGCAGAGACCCAUUGUCUACUGAAUGUACUUCUCCCACAUGCUCUGAUUCCAAAUUCCCAUAGAAAGAGAUAAACAACAAAAGCUGCUGUCAAGGGACAAAACAAGAAUGCUGCCUGGCUGGUGGGGGUACUAUCAAGGAGAUGUGGUCUGGAAAUGGUAGUUUCAUAAAUGCACAUCAUCCAAGAAGGCGACUACUACUUGGAUAACCAGAUUCAGCAAUUGUUGCCACAGACAACACUAGGGGAAGGAUUGGCACUAAGGUAACUAGAAAGACCAGGAACCGAAGAAACAAACUGAUCAUUUGUGACACAGAGCUACGAGGCAUUCAGCCUGGCUAGAAUUAUCAAAUAGUUAUCAGAUAACCAGUAAGUCAACUUUUGAGGAACUCUCUUUCUGGAGGAAUGGAACAGGAAGCUAUAAGGGACAUAGCUGAUGGGCAUCCUUGCAGUUUGGUAGCUGUUUGCCUUGUGACAGGUUAUUCAAUCAUCCUGAAAAUGCAAACAAUUUUCAGUAGUGAUUCCAUAUUAAGAAGAGCGGAGAGAGAACUCAGCAAGGGACAGAAGGAUAACAGGAUGGCGUGUUGUCUCCCUGGAGCAAAUAUUUGACAUGUAAUUGCACAAUUGGACAGGAUUAUGAAGUAAAUUGGCAAGUCUCCACUGCUGAUGAAACAUUAGAACCAAUGACUUCACAUCACAUGGAACUAUACAGAUUACAAGAGGCUUAGAUUUUGAAAAGAAGCUGAAGAUAAAAGACCAAGUGUUAUUCUCAUAGAUCCUUCUGGUCCCAUGAAUAGAAGGCUGAAGGAGAUGAAUUGCUGGCUGCACUACUAGUGGAUAUUUUGUGGAACAGUAGGCCAGUGCGAGAAGGAGCACUACGAACGAGAUGGCCUGCAUCUCUCAGGCUGGGAGUAAUGGGGGCUGAAUUUCUCAGCUGGAGACUAGCAGAAGCAGCCUGGAAAGUAUUAACCUAACAAAGAAAGGCAAGAGUGGAGGAGGUAAAUGUGGUAAGAACUCAAAUUCAGCACGUUCCGAACACACUGAACAGAUGUGGGAAAACACGUGAAGAGAAGAAAUUGUUUAACAAUGCUAGAAGUACGAGUAACAAGCAAGAGGAACUGAAAAUUCUCAAUGAAUAGAAAAUUGAUAUUGACCUUAAUGAAACGGGUGGGACAAGUCAUAGGUCUGGAAUGUCAAAUAUCAUUGGUUAUAACCUGCUUAGGAAGGACAGUGACACCAUUACGUGUUUCAGAGUUAUGAUAAAUGCAAAACUAUAGGAUCUUGACUGCAUAUAGAUCACUGUGCUAACUACUGGGGAGACCUGUUAUAGACCACCAAAUCGAAACAGGCUGUUCUUAAACUGCCCUCUAAGUUACUCCUUUUGUACCUGUUUAAUGUAUGGGGGGAAAAAUGGUUGUUAUGGAGGACUUCAAUUUGAGAGUCAUGAAAUAGAGGUUUUAUGCAGCUGGUAGUAAAACAUUGGAAUUUAUAAA